rnacentral:snoRNA from 1 species
AUGCAUCUAUUUGGCAGACCUAUUUGGUACAGUGACUGUCUGCUGCUAGAAUUUCCACUAUAGAUGCAAGAAAAAAGUGUCCUCAUGCUUUCUUUCUGUCUGGUUGUGGCAGCCAAGAUUGAAUGGGAGAAAUGCAGAG